rnacentral:ncRNA from 1 species
UAGGUUGGCGUCGGCGAUCCCUACGGCAUGCAUGCGGCGCAUGCCAUCGCUUCGGGGAUGGGCGGAUUACGCACUGCCGGAGAUCUGGUAGCGCGUUUG